rnacentral:rRNA from 1 species
GUCUACAGCCAUGCCACCCUGAACGUGACCAAUCUCGUCUGAUCUCGGAAGCUAAGCAGGGUCAGGCCUGGUUAAUACUUAGAUGAGAGAUGGGCUGGGAAUACCAGGUGCUGCAGGCA